rnacentral:rRNA from 1 species
AUUGAACGCUGGCGGCAUGCUUUACACAUGCAAGUCGAACGGUAACAGGCCUUCGGGUGCUGACGAGUGGCGAACGGGUGAGUAAUGCAUCGGAACGUACCCAGAGGUGGGGGAUAACGCAGCGAAAGCUGUGCUAAUACCGCAGGUGAUCUGAGGAUGAAAGCGGGGGACCGAGCAGCAAUGUUUGGCCUCGCGCCUUUGGAGCGGCCGAUGUCGGCUUAGCUAGUUGGUGGGGUAAAGGCCUACCAAGGCGACGAUCCGUAGCUGGUCUGAGAGGACGACCAGCCACACUGGGACUGAGACACGGCCCAGACUCCUACGGGAGGCAGCAGUGGGGAAUUUUGGACAAUGGGCGCAAGCCUGAUCCAGCAAUGCCGCGUGCGGGAAGAAGGCCUUCGGGUUGUAAACCGCUUUUGGCAGGAACGAAACGGUGUCCGCUAAUACCGGGCGCUAAUGACGGUACCUGCAGAAUAAGCACCGGCUAACUACGUG